UACUUAAACAACCAGGAGGUUGGCUUAGAAGCAGCCAUCCUUUAAAGAAAGCGUAAUAGCUCACUGGUCUAGUGAUUUUGCGCGGAAAAUAUAACGGGGCUAAAGUAAGUACCGAAGCUGUAGACUUAGUUUACUAAGUGGUAGGAGAGCGUUCUAUUUGCGUCGAAGGUAUACCGGUAAGGAGUGCUGGAGCGAAUAGAAGUGAGCAUGCAGGCAUGAGUAGCGAUAAUUAAUGUGAGAAUCAUUAACGCCGUAAACCCAA
rnacentral:rRNA from 1 species